rnacentral:rRNA from 1 species
UACAGAGGGUGCGAGCGUUAAUCGGAAUUACUGGGCGUAAAGCGCACGUAGGCGGAUCUUUAAGUCAGGGGUGAAAUCCCAAGGCUCAACCUUGGAACUGCCUUUGAUACUGGGGAUCUCGAGUCCGGAAGAGGUUGGUGGAACUGCGAGUGUAGAGGUGAAAUUCGUAGAUAUUCGCAAGAACACCAGUGGCGAAGGCGGCCAACUGGUCCGGUACUGACGCUGAGGUGCGAAAGCGUGGGGAGCAAACAGG